UGGCUGUUACUUGUGUCUCUUUCCUGGUGGCUGCAGGUUCAAAUUUAACAGACCCUGCAUAAAAACUGAAAAGAGUCUGCAACCAGGUUCAUUAACUAGCUGAAUACCCUUAAAGGCGUAUGCGUUUAUGCUUGGUUUUACCAUCCUACAACCAUUCUGGGUGAAUUAUCCAUCUCUAUUAAAAGUUGGUCCUAUAUAUAUGGG